GUAUUUUAAGCUUCUCACUGCUUGCUCUCAUUUAUUAUAGCAACCAUCCUUGAUCUGCUAAGUCAAAGGAGUAGAAGAAAAACCUGAUCAAAUUGUAGUGUGAAGGAGAUAGUUUCAUUUUAGUUUGCUCAACUUAUCAAGACUUGUAACAAAGGAAAAAGAAGAAGGUUUCACUAAGUGUUCACGUUUACUGAUACUCAGCAUAGAAAGGAAAACGAAUUGCUCAGGAAUAGUUUGAUGUCCUAACGAGAGAGCUUUCAUCUUUCCUUUGUAUGCCCGCGUGAAGAGUGAAGACAGUAGAAGACUAAUUAUCUUUCAUUAAUUAAUAUUCCAAAGACAGAGGUAUGUCAUUACAUAGGCAUCUUUUGUCCUUCAAUUUGAUUACACUUCCAUGGUUAUCAUCGUUUUUUAUUGGGCUUUUCUUUGCCUCUACUCUCAAGACAGCAGCCCAACCCAGAAAAGCCUACGUUUUCAAUUUAGCUAAUCACUUUUCAAAACAUUCAUAUCUGAUUCUUCAUCCUUUACUUUGUUCCAUUGAAAUAUUAUUAUUUAUUUA